rnacentral:pre_miRNA from 1 species
ACUGAGAUCGAUUGGUGCAUAGAUAAUAUGCGAAUUCUAUCAUUUGAUUUCAUUCAAUUCUAGCACCAUUCGAAAUCAGUGCUU